AUUGAACGCUGGCGGCAGGCCUAACACAUGCAAGUCGAGCGGAUGAAGGGAGCUUGCUCCUGGAUUCAGCGGCGGACGGGUGAGUAAUGCCUAGGAAUCUGCCUGGUAGUGGGGGAUAACGUCCGGAAACGGGCGCUAAUACCGCAUACGUCCUGAGGGAGAAAGUGGGGGAUCUUCGGACCUCACGCUAUCAGAUGAGCCUAGGUCGGAUUAGCUAGUUGGUGGGGUAAAGGCCUACCAAGGCGACGAUCCGUAACUGGUCUGAGAGGAUGAUCAGUCACACUGGAACUGGGACACGGUCCAGACUCCUACGGGAGGCAGCAGUGGGGAGUAUUGGACAAUGGGCGAAAGCCUGAUCCAGCCAUGCCGCGUGUGUGAAGAAGGUCUUCGGAUUGUAAAGCACGUUAAGUUGGGAGGAAGGGCAGUAAGUUAAUACCUUGCUGUUUUGACGUUACCAACAGAAUAAGCACCGGCUAACUUCGU
rnacentral:rRNA from 1 species